rnacentral:lncRNA from 1 species
UUCCCCCCACCCCCGCAGCUCUACAAGGCGCAUGCGCGCAACUUGCACGAGCCAGAGUCUCCCCUCGACCACCCCAGUUCCAGCAGUCUUGGUAGCGCGUGCGCAGAUUCCCAGGCGGCAGCGGCGGCGGUUAGCGCGUCCCUCCCUGCUCCAGUCAGAGGGGGGUGCAGGCGAGGUUCCUCAGUGACCCGCCCCCGGCAGCGGGGGGCGGUGCCUGCUGUCCCCUCCUUUCUUCCUCGGCCUCGCCACCGGCGGCGGGUGUGCAGGGGGCUGAGCUCGGUUUCUUCGCUGGCGGCGGCGCAGCUCAUCGUCUGUCCUCCCCGAGGCGGCAGCAGCCAGCGCUCUCCGAAGAAGGGGCCGGACCCGCCCGUCGGGAGGAGGCUGUGGGCGGCUGCGCUCCGUGCGGGCGGGCGCCCCUGGCUGUUUCCGGAGGAAGGAGAGACGCAACUAUCCCCCUCCCCCCUCAGCGCGAGCGGAGCCCGGAGUCACCGCGGCGCAGAGACAGGCCCGGCGGCCGGCGGCGCGCACACACACAAUGGCGCUCAAACGCAUCAACAAGGAACUUAGUGACUUAGCCCGUGACCCUCCAGCACAGUGUUCUGCAGGUCCAGUUGGAGAUGAUAGUAAGUAGUAUUAAAUUUUAAUGUUAUGUUUUCAUUUUAAUUCAAAAAGUAUAUAGUGUCUAAGUAAUAACACUAACACUGACUUUUUUUCCUUUUUAGUGUUCCAUUGGCAAGCCACAAUUAUGGGACCUGUAAGUAUUCUGACUCCCAUGAAUGUUAAUACUAACUUGAAAUCAUAGUUCUUGUUGAAUAAGAAUUGUCUUCGGAUUUCUCCAGUCUUUUUUUAAUGUAGACAUUCUCAAAAAUGCCAGUUUGAGAACAGAGUGGGGGAAAGUGAGUUUUGAGUUAUGCAGAUUCCUCAUUGUUGGCGUGUCACUUCCAUAACAUGACAUGUAUCUGAAUUCACAUGUCCUGCAUAGCAAUGCAAGGUGUUGUCAUGAAAAGUUUUCUGAAGUGCAAAGUGUUCUGAGUGCUUUAUUAUGCAUUUUUAAAUUUGAAUGUGAUUUGUAUAACGUGACUAGGAAGAAGGUCUAAAGCCCCUUGCCAUUAUUGAGGAUUAAGAGCAUUACAAGUUAGACUUCUUAGUACUUCAGUUAACCAAGUAGCUGAAGCUUCUAGGAAACCACACUGGCCAUUUGAUAUGCUUUAGUAUUUCAAACAAACUUUAUCAAGUUUUUUUAAGACAUGCAUAUUUGGAUUAAAGCUAUUUAAAAAAAUACCCUAAGUAGUCUUCCAGGAAGCUGUGGCUAGUUACCUUAUAACAAAGUUUUCCCUUCUGUAAAAAUAGUACACUGAGGUGCAUGUUUUGUAUUUGGGAUCUGAAAACAGCUUUUUGUAUAAUGAAGAGAAUUAUAUUAAUGUUUAUUUCUCCUCCUAAAGAGAUUUUUUAAAGAUAUUAAGGUUCCAUAUCUAGAACUACUCCAGACUUGCUUAGUUUACAGAUGGAGUGAUAUAAUUGCCAAGUGUGCGUACUCAGCCUGGUAUCUGAACAUUGGAUUAGAUUCUCUCUGUUACGCAUAAUGAGCAAUAAGAUUCUGCAGGCCAAAAUCAGGUCUUGGUUACACCUGUACAACCUCGCUGAAGGCUGAUGGGGUUGCACGUAUGUAACUGAAGGCUUGUUUCAUCUGCAGUCUCACUGUUAAUGAGGUAUGAGAAGGCACUAAGUCAUUUUCAGAUUCCAGGCUCUGUCAGGACUGGCAGUUCAUUCAAAAUUUAAAAAUCUGAGCAAACUGAAUCAAGUGCCAAUAAACAUGGAACCCCUUCAGUGACACUUUUAGGCCAUGUCUAAAUUCCAGCUUCUGUGGUAGCAUAACUAAAGUGUCAUAGUUAUGCUGUUGUAACCCUGGGUUAUAGAUGCAGACUACAGUGACAGAAGGAAUUUUUCUGUCACUGUAGGAACUUCACUUACCUGAGUGACAGCAUCUGGGUCUACAGCAAGGGUUAGGUUGACAUAGCUGUGGGGCUCCAGGGUGUGGAUUUGUCACAUCCCUGAGUGACAUAGCUAUAUUGACCUGAAUUAAGUGUAGAUUAGGCCUUAGUCAUGUUAGAGUAGAACUUAAUUAUCAGAUCAGUGUUAAUGUAGUACUUUGAUCUUACACAUGUCCAAAUGUGGUUUAGAUAUUCUAUCGAUACCAGUUAGUGCAGAGCUUCUUUUGGGUGUCAAACUGAAGAAUCCUUGUAUCUUCAAUUCAAAGUUAAAAUGCUGGAUUUGUUCUUAUAGCUUGUUAUCCCUUUGCAUGCAACAAAGUAUGCACUCCAGAGAGACCAGAAUGUUUGCUUAAUAGCUAUACUAAUACUUUUGGAAGUUUACUUCAAGUAUGGAAUGAGUUCCAUUGUAUGUCAUUGAGUUAUACUUACAUGAUUGACUGCAUGGUCACAGAACUCUCAAAGUAUAGUCGGACUUCAAAUUCAGAAAUUUUCUUUUCUACCUUUUCCUGCUCAUUCAGUGUUUAUCCUCUUUUCUCACUUAAUCUUUAUGCUAUCAGGCAAGAGACUUUUAUUAGUUAUGCCCUUUGGAAUAGCAUGAGCACAUACUUUAGAGCAGAAUUUUAGCUAGAAUUUUAUCCUAGCUUUAGGAUAAUAGCUUAGUGGUCCACUGGUGUAGGCCACAUACCUUAAUGACAGGGUAGUCAUCGAUAGUGCAGAUAGAUGACUUAACAUAUUCCACAUCUGAGAUCCGCUACUGACACAGAAGUCUAAUAGUAAGGAUUGAGUUCUCAUUGUCAGAGACAUAUUAGGAAGCUUUCAUAGUUCUUUUCUACACUUGUUCUAACCAGUUCUGUGACUUCACUUUAACUACUAAGACUUGCUUCCAGCAUGUAUACAGUAAAAGAGUUGAAGUAGUUCUUGAACUUCUCAUUUGCCAAUAUAGCAGUUUUUCAGUGACUGCUGCAUGAUGCACUUAAUCUCUGCCAAGGCUGUCUCAUUGAAGUGUCAACUCUAGCAUGACGAUUUUGCCCCUUGACUUAUCUGUUGGCUUUUAACUACAUUGCUUCAUUUGCAAAUAUUAAAGAAUAUAUAAACUAAAGGAAUAGGAUGUGGCUAGUCUGUAUAUAAACAAGAGAUUGGCCUUAAAGGAUAUAACAUUUUAAAAAAUAGAUCAACAGAAUAAAGCCAUCUUCCAGUAUUCCUAUAGACCAAGUAUGUGAAACCCAUUGUGACAAGGAUCAAACUACCCUUUUUUGCUCAGUCCUGAGGCCAAGAGUAGGGGGGGCUUAAGCAAUAAGAGAGAACUACAAAAUCGCAGAAUGUGCUUCUUUAGCCAGCAAAGUUAAAUAUUGCACUUAAAGACUUUUUAAUGAAGCUUAUACUUUUUCUAAAACUUCCUCUUUUGUAUGUGCUUCUCUUCUUCCUCCCUCUUUCUCCCCCCCCCCCGCCCCCCACACACACAAAUGAUAGGUCACUGGCUCAGUCUCCACCUUUUGAGAGUGUUCUCUGUUGCUGUACUUUGGGUGGUAAUUCCACCACCACUUAAACCUGAGAAUUUCCCCCCCUUGAGGUUAUCAUUAUGAUUGCCUUUUCCCUGAGCAGGGGAAGAAAAUAAAUUUCCAGGAACCUGGUUAUGUGUAACCCAGAGGCAGGGAUCCAGGCAUGUGGUGAGAGAAAGGACUGGAAAGCUAAGCAGUGGUGAUGGUGGGGACAGAAUGUGCAGAAGGCUGGAAAGGACUGCAACUGGCCUACAAAAAACUGCUACAAGGGGAGUAGGGAUCAGUUGCUUGUGGCUAGCCAGGCACUUAGGCCAUGUCUACAUCUAAAAUUUUGCAGCGCUGGUUGUUACAGCUGUAUUAGUACAGCUGUAUAGGGCCAGCGCUGCAGAGUGGCCACACUUACAGCAACCAGCGCUGCAUGUGGUGUUAGAUGUGGCCACACUGCAGCGCUGUUGGGCGGCUUCAAGGGGGG